ensembl:lncRNA
CACACACAAACAACACCUCAACUAAACUUACCAGUCGCACACACCUGGGCGACACAGACCUAAGUCGUAUACCCCUGGAUUAAAAUAAAAUGAUAAAUCAUUCACAUUUAAAUCAUCAUCAAACUUACAUAUACACUGUACACAAAGACGUACAUGUUUGUUGCACACAAUCACCUAGGCCGCACUGAAAAAAAAAAUCACAUACUCCUUGCUAAGAAUACAAUUAUACAUAUUUUAAUAAGCAAUAAUCAUUCUCAUUGUAUACAUAGAGGUGCAACCAUGUUCGUCAUAAAAAAGUGACACAGUCGAGCACAGACACAGUCACACAAAACUCAAAAGAUGUUCUCUCUAAUACAGUUGUAUGAUCGUGUCUUGUCUAAUCCUGGUUGUCAUCCCUUAUCCUGUCUAACCCCAAGUUACCCACACAGAACGUCGCCCUCUUGUGGAGAACCCCGUCACUGCCUUGCGAUUCUAUGCUCCGGCAUUUGAUCCGAGCGCUUUCCAACAAACACACACACAAACACAGCACCUCAACUGAUCUUACCAGUCACACACACCUGUGUCUACCCAUCUAUCUUCUCCAGGAAAUAACCCUUGGCUUCUCAGUCGCCCUCUCCUGGAUAAAACUGUGAAUAGCCAUGUGUUCGAAAUUGCUAAGGAUUCCAACAUUUUAGCAGAAAAUUACACUCCAGAGGGAGCUCUUGAGCGGCUGACUUUAUUCAAAGACAUCUUUCAAGUCUAACUUCUAAUGAUGCACUCUCUCUCUCUCACAAACACACACACACAAACACACACUCCUGUGCACACUCACACACACACACACACACACACACACACACACACACACACACACACACACACACAAACUGUCUGGAAAACUGUUUUUAUACAGGCUUGUAAUACCUUCUUGCUAAAAAGACCAUUGAUUUCACAGGUUAUUUCAUUUGGAUGUAUUUUUUGCCUUUACCGAUGACUGACUUCCUUUUUGUCACACUUUAGACUGUUGUACGGUCACAUUGGAUUUGAAAGAAACAUCCUUUCUUCCAUACAUCCACGCUGCCUGAAAGACGACAGCUUCCUGAAUCCAACGAUACCAGUUAUGUGAACAUCGGACCUCCGCUUCAAAAGAUACGGCCAG